rnacentral:snRNA from 1 species
UGUUGUGAAGGCGAUCUGGCUGUGACAUCUGUCACCCCAUUGAUUGCCAGGGUAGAUUCAGCUGAUCUGGCUGGCUAGACAGGUGUCCCUUUCCUCCCUCACUGCUCCAUGUACAUCCUGAGGACCACCAUCCCUGAUAGAGGACUGUUUCCUUGGUCAAGGGUGUAUGAGUAGCUGCGCUCCCCUGCUAGAACCUCCAAACAAUCUCUCAAAUUAUGCAGUGCUAUUCUGAUUGAUUAUUGGGAGAGUUAUGAAAGGACUUAGCAAAAUAGACACACAAGCUAGGUGUGGUGGCACAUGCCUA